CCUACGGGAGGCAGCAGUGAGGAAUAUUGGUCAAUGGACGAGAGUCUGAACCAGCCAAGUAGCGUGAAGGAUGACUGCCCUAUGGGUUGUAAACUUCUUUUAUAUGGGAAUAAAAUGUUCCACGUGUGCGUUUUUGUAUGUACCUUAUGAAUAAGGAUCGGCUAACUCCGUGCCAGCAGCCGCGGUAAUACGGAGGAUCCGAGCGUUAUCCGGAUUUAUUGGGGUUAAAGGGAGCGUAGUUGGGUUGUUAAGUCAGUUGUGAAAGUUUGCGGCUCAACCGUAAAAUUGCAGUUGAUACUGGCAGUCUUGAGUACAGUAGAGGUGGGCGGAAUUCGUGGUGUAGCGGUGAAAUGCUUAGAUAUCACGAAGAACUCCGAUGGCGAAGGCAGCUCACUGGACUGUAACUGACACUGAGGCUCGAAAGUGUGGGUAUCAAACAGGAUUAGAUACCCGAGUAGUC
rnacentral:rRNA from 1 species